rnacentral:rRNA from 1 species
GAAUUUUGGACAAUGGGGGAAACCCUGAUCCAGCCAUCCCGCGUGUAUGAUGAAGGCCUUCGGGUUGUAAAGUACUUUUGUCAGAGAAGAAAAGGUACCUCCUAAUACGAGGUACUGCUGACGGUAUCUGCAGAAUAAGCACCGGCUAACUACGUGCCAGCAGCCGCGGUAAUACGUAGGGUGCAAGCGUUAAUCGGAAUUACUGGGCGUAAAGCAUGUGUAGGCGGUUCGGAAAGAAAAAUGUGAAAUCCCAGGGCUCAGCCUUGGAACUGCACUUUUAACUGCCGAGCUAGAGUAUGUCAGAGGAGAGUAGAAUUCAACGUGUAGCAGUGAAAUGCGUAGAUAUGUGGAGGAAUACCGAUGGCGAAGGCAGCCCCCUGGGAUAAUACUGACGCUCAGACACGAAAGCGUGGGGAGCAAACA